rnacentral:misc_RNA from 1 species
GUGGAAAUAUAAUUUUAAUAAUUGAAUAGUUCUUGGAUGGAACAACACAAGUAAUAGAAAGGGUGUGCAUAACUGAGCAGUGAGCACUUGGAGAACAGAGAUGAGGGCAUCAAUCUCAGAAGCUGAUUUUGCAAUGAUGCAUUGACAAUAUUCAUGCCAAUUGCCAAGUAAAAAUAUUGUUCGGAUGUUACAUUCUGAUAAAGGUAUUGGAUGAAACUGUGUGUAAAGAUGUAUAUUCUGAUAGAGGAAUUGUAUGAAGUUGUUUGCAGAGAGGUCCUACAGAAUUCCAUCAAACAUUUUCACCUGACUAUAAACCCAAAAGAAGAGGGGGCUGUGCCCUGUUUCCAUAUUCCGAUGGGCUGGCUUCCCAUAAGAGUACAAUCCAAGCUUCAAAAACAAUCCUACAAAGAAACCAAAACCAGAAAAAACCUAUGCACUGAGGCCCCAACUUUAUUCAUCGUACAAAAAGGAUAAUCAAACUUCCCCCAACUCAUCUGGAGAAGAGAGGAUAAAAAGCCAAAUUGGAGAAUUUAACUCAAAAGCCGAAGGGAGAGAAAGGAAAGGAAAAGUUGGGAAUUGAUGGAAGAAAAGGAUCCACAGGUGUUGAAUCCCUCUGCUACAUA